CAGCCGCCGCGGUAAAACGUAUGUCACAAGCGUUAUCCGGAUUUAUUGGGCGUAAAGCGCGUCUAGGUGGUUAUGUAAGUCUGAAGUGAAAAUGCAGGGCUCAACUCUGUAUUGCGUUGGAAACUGUGUAACUAGAGUACUGGAGAGGUAAGCGGAACUACAAGUGUAGAGGUGAAAUUCGUAGAUAUUUGUAGGAAUGCCGAUGGGGAAGCCAGCUUACUGGACAGAUACUGACGCUAAAGCGCGAAAGCGUGGGUAGCAAACAGGAUUAGAUACCCGAGUAGUCCCUGUCUCUUAUACC
rnacentral:rRNA from 1 species